GUGCUCGCUGUAGCAGCACAUAUACUAAAAUUGGAAAGAUACAGAGAAGAUUAGCAUGGCCCCUGUACAAGGAUGAGAUGCAAAUUUAUGAAGUGUCCCAUAUUUCU